rnacentral:rRNA from 1 species
CCUACGGGGGGCAGCAGUGGGGAAUAUUGGACAAUGGGCGAAAGCCUGAUCCAGCCAUGCCGCGUGUGUGAAGAAGGCCUUCGGGUUGUAAAGCACUUUCAGUGGGGAAGAAAGCCUUGGGGCUAAUACCCUCGAGGAAGGACAUCACCCACAGAAGAAGCACCGGCUAACUCCGUGCCAGCAGCCGCGGUAAUACGGAGGGUGCGAGCGUUAAUCGGAAUUACUGGGCGUAAAGCGCGCGUAGGCGGUCUGAUAAGCCGGUUGUGAAAGCCCCGGGCUCAACCUGGGAACGGCAUCCGGAACUGUCAGGCUAGAGUGCAGGAGAGGAAGGUAGAAUUCCCGGUGUAGCGGUGAAAUGCGUAGAGAUCGGGAGGAAUACCAGUUGCGAAGGCGGCCUUCUGGACUGACACUGACGCUGAGGUGCGAAAGCGUGGGUAGCAAACAGGAUUAGAUACCCGUGUAGUC